GUUUACAGUGAUACGCUAUUUCGAAGCAGAUGUUCCUCUUCAUGUUGUAUGCAGCAGUAGAUGAUGACAAGAGCACGUUGGAGGUCUCAUAUCUGCUGCUACAAGGAACAAUUUACAGACCGGAAAUGCAGUGUAGCAUUGUUGUAACUCGGCCCUGCCAUUUGGCCGUUGCGGAUAUACCGAGUUCGUCUGCAACGACCUCGGAACCAUCUCCCCUAUGAGAUCAGAGUGGAUAGCCACCUAUCGAACGACUACCGCCUGUCUAUACGUUACCACCGAAAUGGUCAGCAAGAUGAAUAUAGGCUGGAGAUGAGAUCUCCGAACGCAUUCAACAUAUCUGCGAACUGCAAAAAAAAAUGUAUAUGAAAGCCUGUUAAAAAACGUUGUUCCGAGGAUGCCUUUACGCGAAAUGCUUCGAGACUUUGCUAACAUUAAUGUUAGAGGUAAUUAAUUGCAGAUUGGCUACCUCACAAUUUUUGUCAAGCCUAUUUUUGAUUGGGCUAUGCACGAUCCUAGUGAAAUAACGGAUCACAGUGUGUCUUAUCUAGUCGAUACAUAACCCGAUAUCUCGAUUGUUGUGAACUAAUACGUAUCCUUAUUUAGCAAAUUCGAUUCUCCAUCACAUGCCACUUACUACCACUAAUCGAUGCACGUGGAUUUAUACAUGUUUAUUAGUCCGGCUAAUGGAACACAAGACGAACACAAUGUCGACACGAAGUACCUGCAAAACCUUAGAUCUUCAGUGUCGGAGCAUAUAUUUGCAUUGCCAUUUCAUUGAAACUCAAAUGCUCUCCGUAUGACAAUUAUGACCUUUAACAAAAACAUUUUUUGUAAGCAGGGAUUUUUAAAUGUAUAUAAUUUUUGCGAGGAACAAUACGAAUAGUUGUGAUGUGGAAAAGUUAAGUUGUUUUUAAUUACAUCAUCAGAACUUCGAUACUAAAUAGAUCUAUUAAAGCCUGCAUACAGCACCACAUGAAGGGUCGACAAAGUCUGAAUCCUAAGCUGAUCACCGGUGUGUUUUAUCCCACAUCAGAAUGACGACGGUGCGACAUCUGCACAAUGUUUUAAACAUCAAUUCUUCGGGUUAACCUUGCAGAAAAGCAAACGUAGACGGUUCCAGUCUCGCGAAAUUACCAUUAAGCAUCGCCUUUUUGAGUCAGGGAUAUUAAAUCCGCACCUCGAAUAUUUGCAGGCAGAUUCAGCGUAUCGACUCUAUGUAUGCAUAAGAUCAGUGUGCUUGUAAUUUAUUGAUCUUAAUUAGUUUGUUGGUCCAAGGCGUACUCGAGCUCAUCCCCGACUAUAUGAGGAUGAAAAAACCAAUACCAAACAGAUCGCAGUACCGUACUCAUUUUCGCGUUGGGAAUUCGGUCAUUUCAAGGAGCAGGGCGAAGGCUUUUGCAGGGCCCCGCCUGACUAUCCGAAGAUCACUAUCGCCACGAAUUUAGUAGAGAAUUCUGUUUGAAUUUGAUAACAGCAUUUGUGGCCGAUACAAUGUGUUUGAUUUAUCAAACUGCUACUGGUAGAUGGAAAAUGAAAGAUGAAGUCACUACAGUGUAAAAUUAUGAUAAUUACGAUACGAAGAGUCAUCACGACGUUACAUACGAGUUAGCUUGGAUUAUAUUUAACCUAAUUCGCAUAUAACUGAAAGAGCAUGCGAGUGCUUCGAUUAUAUUGACACCCGUAGCAAAUUACCAAUGUUUUUUAUCAACGAGUAUUACUACGUGGCUUGCUUUCAUGUGCAUUGCGUAGUCAUUUACUUCCGCCAAUAAUAUAAUAAAUAAAAAAAUAUUAGAAAGCUACAAACUCGUAAUCACUUUACGACUGGGUUUACUUAUCUGUCAUUAUUCUUCACCUUGAAAAAGCCUGUGAGGGCUUUUCUUGUUGUUAGUAGGUAUAUACCAUGUAUAAGAAAAGGCUUAUAAGGUAUUGCAUUAGAACUGCAAUGAGGUGACCUUCGCCUUAAGAUGUAUACCCAUAUGCAUGUUCUAGGCUGGCGCCGUGUCAACGAAACAAACUUCUAUCAAUCGCAGGUAUCCCGAUGGCAUCCAAAGGAUGCAUUCACUUUAUCGUAGAUAUAGCCGACCGAAACGAAGAUCUCUGUUAAGACAUCAGUAAUCAGUUUGACCCGGCUGGUCGAAAUCAAGUAGUUAGGAUUUGGCACACUGGUAUUAAAGCUGUUUUUAUAAAUAAAAAAAAAAAUAGACAAGAUUUAAAAAUGCUUUCGAAAGGGCUUUUCGUUGGCGAUGGCUAACUACAGCACCUGUGCAGUUCCUUACGCAUGUAUGCAUGUACGCAUGUGCAGGUAAACACGCAUGCUGCGGCUGAAUAAUGAGCCACCCCUCGUAUACAAAGCUCAUCUGGCUAGGGUACAAUUUUCAGAUACUCAGCUUGUUCCGCCCAAACUGCAAUAUUACUUACUCAGGUGAUAUCGUUUUUUGGUGGAUGAUGUUCUGGGGAUCUAUCUCAUUAUCGUGGAAAAUAAUGGGAUCUAAAAGUACAUUGACAAGCGACUAAUCUUCUGCCAAUAAUUGCUAAAAAAAAUUCUGCUAAUAAUCACAGUACCAGAUAAACAAGAACCGUGUCUUAAGCAAUGAGUUGCCCUUGGUCCGUCAUUGUCACCGAACAUACGCAAAUACGAGUUCGGUGGUUUGAGAGGACAUAAUGACCGCCUCUUUGGUCAUUACAUGCCACUUUACGAUUACUUGGAAUACGUUUUGGUGGUGAAAAUACCGUCAAUUGCACCCACACACCCAGCGGUCAAGUGAGAACAAACAGCGGCUAGAGUUGAUGCGUUUUUAUCACGUUGCCUCGGGCCGAUUAUCGCCAUCUAUAAACAUAUGACUAUUUGUGGACUGAACAACUAUGAAGGCGAGCAAGGGACGAUGUGACUACUUCGUGCCAAUAAGCCCCAGUCGUAAUCACAAGGUACCGUCUACUCCCGAGUCCACUAGCUGUGAUGCCCGUCUAAGCGAGUGCUUAGCCUGUAGAAUCAUUUGCCUAUGUUUGUGACAAUGCAGAACAAGUUAUUCGAAACAAGUGUGAAAAUCCUAACGUCGAGGGCCCCAAAGCCUGCACACAGCACAGGUGUCGCGUCAAUUAGUCCCAAAACCGUGGCGAGAGCCUAUGAAAGAGCAAUCGAUACGUCACGAUUGAUAGGUGUAUAAGCCCAAAUCCACGAUUAAUAUAUGUUUUGAGGAUAUUCACAUACUAGUAUUGAGCGUGGGAACCAUUUGCAAAAAUUCGAGGCGUUCGUUCUCACGUAAACUCAUCAUUAAGAAGCUAACGAAUAAAAACGCUUUAACCGCAACCUCUGGUAAAAUUACCUAGGAAAUGAAACGCUCUGGACUAUGGAUCCGGUGGAUCGUAGUAUCGCAACAGAGGGUAGUUGAAUAAACGAGUAAACAUUCACAUUUCGACCCCACACCAUAGUUCUGCCAAAGAACACAGCUUGCAAUAAAGCUGCUCAACUGUCGCUAGACUUGUCGUUAAUGGUUUUUCUGCUUUAUUCUCUUCGCCUUGGAGCGAGCAUCGCGUAUCUAACCACAAAGCACGCUGGCGAAAGCUGAAGGCAACCUUGCAUGACGCGUCCCAGAUUGCUUUACCGGGUUCUGUGGUCAUUUAGCGCCCUUAUGACAGCGUCCGUCUGCUAAUACAGCGAAACUAUACCUUCCUUAAUAUACGAACCUGCAAAAACCCUUACGAGUAUAUGCCUAAUAAUUAAUGCCAAAACUACAAUAUGGCAGGCCGUUGGGAGGUUUAUCCCCAGACAUAACAAUUACCAAACCUAAAGCUCGAAACAUCGAUUAGUUGAAGCUUAACGCAAGUCAAAUGGCAGAUAGGCUCAAGUUAGAAGAGCGUAAUAAAUCGUCCAAUGUUGCUCUCCCCAUUUCAGAUACGUUUAUCAGUAUAUUAAGGAGCCUCUUGUUUACGCCGGACAUACCGACAAAUACAAGCAUCUUGUGCCCGUAUGCUAGAAUCUUCUUCCAGCAAAACCGGUUUCCAACAAGAUUGAAGCCAUCUGCCUCAAAAAACUAGACGUAACUUCAUUGUUCUAUAUUUUUACGUGCGCCUUAUAGUUUUUGCGGAACAUUGUAUUGGUUUUGGGUUUCAACCUAUAAAGUUGAGGGCGAAAAAAAAAUCAGAAGUCUCACGCGUAUCGAAAACUUUAGCGACAUAUACACUGCAUGACACUGGCAUAAGCAACUUUUCCUUGAAGAGUUAUGUAAACGUAUAUGUCGUUCAUAAAUAGAUUUCACAUGUCAAGUGCUUGAAGCAUUUUAUGCUUUUUUAAGUCCAGCUGCAAAACAUAAGCUUGACUACUAACCCCUCUCCGCUCCCACACCGGUGAGGUUGCAGACCUCGAAUUGACAAAAAAAAAAAUCAAGAUAUUGCUAAGAUUAAGUAAACGAAAAAAAAGUGACUCAAAGCCAUCGAACUCCUCUUUGCUCCAGCGCCAAGGGCUAAUGAUCUUCGGGCUCUUUAACGUGUCUGAGGCUAUCUCCAUCUUGUCUAUGUUUAUUUCACCUGUCACCUCUAUGCCAUUAAUUACAAUUAGCAUUUUAUUUCUAUUCUAAUAGCAUACACACAUGCUGAUUAGCCAUAAUGGAUCGACUGCACUUGCUUAGCUAAACCUGCAGACCCUCAUAUAUAAUAACAAUGUAACAUUUUCUUGUAAAGUCAAAUUUUCCCCUAUUCUCAUCGUCGGACAGUCUAGAAAUAAUGGUGCAUACACCAAACUUGCUACAAUAAUAGUUCCUUUGAUUUCUGAUGUAUACGCGACCCAGGCAAAAAACUAAACGCUUAUCGCCAAUUGUUAGUUGCUUGAAUUGAUUAUUUUCAUGAAUUUAAAGGUUUUUAGGCGAAUAUAAGACUGUCAGCGUUCGCGUCUACAUUUAAAAGGCGCAGUUCAUAUUGCCGCUUGCUAAAAGUAUGCACGGAGUUUUCAUGUCGUCGCGCACGAAGACGGCAUCGGUCGAUAGUCUGAACGCAAGCUCAAGUAUUCAUUGCGUCAAGAGUUACUCAACUGCGCGUUGGAGAACAGGCAUAGACGUGCACGUUGCUCUAGAUUAAUUGUGGUGGUUACGAUGCCCCUCUGCAAUGGAAACUCGUGUGCCUCAAGCAAAAAUUUGUCGAGAACGAGCAAUGCUUAUCCUCUUCGCCGAUAAUUGUUAUCAUAUCAGUAAAAAACAAUUUCAGAUUGGAUGUCCACGUUUCACGAAUAGCCAUGUUACUGCAAUGGUCGUCGUAUAAAAUCAUGUCACCUGCAAUGUCUCUAUAAAGCUGCGAUGUAUACGAAACACAGUCAAGUAACGAUAUAACUGGUGUACUUCAGCUAAUAUAUCAGUGUUAAAAUACCAACCUUAAUUAUUCAAUUUUUACCAGCAUUAGCCCGCAUGUUGAGUACCCGAGGCUUGCCUCUUUCCGUGUGUUGAUUUUGAUAUCAACAUAUUGACGAGCCUUUUGCCUACGAUUCGUGUUAGACUAUGUGAACUUGGUGUUAUGGAUAAAUCGUUUCCAUUUAUACCGCAUUCAGUGUGUCUUUGUAUGCCUGCUAUUCCAUGAGACCUUCACUACUGAAGCGGUAUUUCGUAAAUCCACGGUGGUGAGGGCAUUCUUCCUUAUCAGUCUAUUUUAUUUUUUUACUCCUAUUAAACCUGGAAGUCUUAAGGAUCCAUAUAAAGCAACCUAUAUAUAUAAGUGGGACAAGAUAAGACAGUUAAUAAAACAAGCACAAAUAACCAUCAAUGAACCUGUUGUCGUGUUUUAGCUGCUCGAUUAACCCGUUCCAUCUACACCAUUAAAGUUUUACCGUGUAAUCCCAGGCUUAACGAGAUUAGAAAAGCGCUACGAAGCGGUUUUAUGAUUUAAUUCACGUAAUAAAAAGUCGUUUUAUAAUAAUAAAAAAAAAAAGAAACACGGAAAAAUUAAUUCCUCUUUAUACCUGCAUGGAUUGCACUGUAAAAGCACUGAGACAGGUAAAGUGAACAAUUCUUAUAUCCAAACAUUUUUUAGUUUCAACGGUUGCCGCGAAGAUGAUUAAA
rnacentral:lncRNA from 11 species